rnacentral:misc_RNA from 1 species
GGAUUUCUGAUCAUGCACAUAUCAUUGGUGGCUGGUAAUACCACAACCAUUGAGGCGUAUGAGAAGAAGACAACUCCAAAAUGGCGUUAUGAUCUUGGUCGAAAGAGGAAUUUUGAACAGGUUUUUGGCCUGGACAAGCAGCACUGGUUUAUCCCCUCUUACUCGGAAGAAGAUCUAAGAAGGAUGCCUGCUCUUCAUGGUCUUGAAUACCCAUCCAAGCCCGAACUCGAAUCCCAAGAAUUUUAGGUGUCAUCAAGUACAUUACCAAGCUGAGUAUGUUUUUUUGUAACAAUCAUAGAGUAGUAGUACCUACUGAUGCCCAUCCCGCGAUUGCAUCUGCUGGCGUUGUGCAGACACUACAUAAAGGAUAUAGCCAAUUGAUGUAUUGAUAAUGGGUUCUGUAAGAUAGAAGUUUUUCUUAUGUCUCAAGUCUGACAACAGGUUUUCUUGUAAGAUCAUCACAACUGUUUGAUUAGAAAUGUAGAUUUUAAUAUUUGAUUUCAGAGUUAAAAUG